rnacentral:rRNA from 1 species
AUUGAACGCUGGCGGCAGGCCUAACACAUGCAAGUCGAGCGGAUGAAGGGAGCUUGCUCCUGGAUUCAGCGGCGGACGGGUGAGGAAUGCCUAGGAAUCUGCCUGGCAGUGGGGGAUAACGUCCGGAAACGGGCGCUAAUACCGCAUACGUCCUGAGGGAGCAAGUGGGGGAUCUUCGGACCUCACGCUAUCAGAUGAGCCUAGGUCGGAUUAGCUAGUUGGUGGGGUAAAGGCCUACCAAGGCGACGAUCCGUAACUGGUCUGAGAGGAUGAUCAGUCACACUGGAACUGAGACACGGUCCAGACUCCUACGGGAGGCAGCAGUGGGGAAUAUUGGACAAUGGGCGAAAGCCUGAUCCAGCCAUGCCGCGUGUGUGAAGAAGGUCUUCGGAUUGUAAAGCACUUUAAGUUGGGAGGAAGGGCAGUAAGUUAAUACCUUGCUGUUUUGACGUUACCAACAGAAUAAGCACCGGCUAACUUCGUG